rnacentral:tmRNA from 1 species
GGGGCUGAUCGGUUUCGACUUGGGACGUUAGUUCCAGGGGAAGCGGGUCGAGGAUCCAAGGUCAUCUCGCAAACGCUCCUUGGAAACCAAUAACUGCCAAUUCACAGCGCAGUUCGUUCGCCCUCGCCGCCUGACGGCGGGGCAACGGGUCAGACUAGAGGCGCCUCCGCUCUAGAACCUGGCCUCAUCUAGGAGGCUUGCUGGGGUGUCCGGGCCGCGAGGACACCCUGGGACUUUUCUGCGGCUGAGCCUGUCGGCGACGUGUCAGUGAGAGCGCCGGGGCUGAGAAAACGACACCACUGACUGCACCCGGAGAAGCCCUGGAUCGGCGCCGAAGGACGCGGGUUCGAUUCCCGCCAGCUCCACCG